rnacentral:rRNA from 1 species
UACGAAGGGGGCUAGCGUUGCUCGGAAUGACUGGGCGUAAAGGGCGCGUAGGCGGUUACUUAAGUCGAAUGUGAAAGCCCUCGGCUUAACUGAGGAAGUGCAUCCGAAACUGAGUAGCUAGAGUACGAAAGAGGGUCGCGGAAUUCCCGGUGUAGAGGUGAAAUUCGUAGAUAUCGGGAGGAACACCGGUGGCGAAGGCGGCGACCUGGGUCGAGACUGACGCUGAGGCGCGAAAGCGUGGGGAGCAAACAGG